ensembl:misc_RNA 7SK 7SK RNA
GGAUGUGAGUGUGAUCUGGCUGUGACAUCUGUCACUCUGCUGAUUGCCUUGGUUGAUUUGGCUGGCUGGCUGGAUAUCCCCUUUCUCCCUCAUGGCUCCUUGUGCCUCCCUCCAGAGCUGCACGCUUGGUCCAAGAGGAUGACCUUCCCAGUAGAAGAGGAAUGUUUUUCAGUCAAGGGUACAAGUAGCUGGUGCUCCCCUGCUAGAAACUCCCAACAAGCUCUCAGGGCCCAUUUGUGGGAGAAUGUAGGGUAGUCAAGCUUCCAAGAUUCCAGAUCCCUCCAAAUAAGUGUUUCAUGUGGCAGCCUAACUUUCUUN